rfam:Setaria italica strain Yugu1 chromosome IV, whole genome shotgun sequence.
GUUGGAGCGGUGAUGAGCAAUUUUCGUGGACUAGAGUUUCUGAUAUUACCUCGGUAGUAUUUGACGACCAAACCCUUGGCUGUCUGAGCUCCCAA